GCCCUGAGCAAGAAACCCGAGUAUCGUCACCGCAUACCUGAUGUUGUAACCUGGGUACAAACUGGCAGCGUGGCCCCCUCCUAGUCGCCAGUUGGAUUACCGGAGCACAACGAUUACCAUAUAUUACAUGUAACUACUUCUCAUAAUUGGAUAUAAGAUAAAAAUUCCAUUUGAAUAAACUAUGGCUGAUGAAGAGGCACCACCACCAGCGGAAGCGCCUCCAGAGGAAGCCCCCGCAGAAACUGGAGAUGCUCCUCCUCCACCCCCGCCGGCUGAAGGCGAAGCACCUCCUGCUCCUGUUGAGGGUGGUGAGGGUGCUCCGCCACCAUCAGCUGAAGGAGGGGAAGGAGCGCCUCCACCUCCACCUGCAGAAGGUGGAGAGGGUGGAGAAGCUCCUCCAGUGGAAGAAGGACCACCUCCUCCACCAGUUGACGAGAAAGCUUUGGCGGCAGAAUUAAAAAAACAAAGAGAAGAGGAGGAAGCUAUCAGGAAGCAGAUCGCAAUUGAGAUGAGAAAGGCAGAGCUGCGAGCUAAGAUAGAGGAAGCGUCCAAGGCUAGGCGAGCCAAGAAAGGAUUUAUGACUCCAGAGAGGAAGAAAAAACUUAGGCUGUUGCUGAGGAAAAAAGCCGCUGAGGAAAUCAAAAAGGAACAAGAAAGGCAGGCGGAAGAGAGAAUCAGGAUUAUAGAGGAGCGAUGUGGUACACCUGAGGAUUUGGAUUGGGGAAUGGAAGAUGAUUUGGCUGAGAUUUGCGAAGACUAUUGGAAUAGAUGCAAACAAAUCGAAAGCAAGAAAUGGGAUAUAGAGAGGAAAUUCAUGUUGCAAGUUUACGCCAUUGCCGAAUUGAAUGCACAAGUAAACGACCUUAGAGGAAAGUUCCAAAAACCAAUUUUGAAGAAAGUAUCGAAAUACGAAAAUAAGUUUGCCAAACUGCAAAGAAAAGCAGCGGAAUAUAACUUUAGAAACCAACUGAAGAUGGUCAAAAAGCCCGAAUUCAUGCUUAAGGACGAAGAGAAAAAGAGAAAGGAUGCUGAAGAAAAGAAGGCGGCAGAAGAAAAAGCGGCUGCAGCAGCUGAAGGAGCAGAAGGUGCACCAGCCGAAGGGGCAGAAGGAGCGCCAGCAGCAGAAGGUGCCCCUGGUCCCGAAGGAGAAAAGCCGGAGGGUGCUCCUGCAGAAGGUCAACCACCUGCAGAAGGAGCUGCCCCAGCUGAAGGUGCUCCUGCUGAAGCUGCACCCGAGGCUGAAGCUCCACCUCCUGAACCAGUGGAACCUCCACCACCACCGGAACCAGAACACACCGAAGAAGAAUUAUGGAUGUACAUCAAGGAAGCCGUCACGAACGCCUGCCCAAUGACCAUUGAUGACCUUGUCAAGAAGAUGAUAGACUGUGUUCAGGCUGUACCACAAGGGUACCUCAAACCUGUCGUGGAAGCUUCUAUCAAGAGAUCUCAAAGCUUGGACCUUGGUGGCCUUGCCUUAGGAGAAGCACCACCAGCUGAAGGGGCAGCACCGCCUGCAGAAGGAGCACCUGCCCCUGCUGCAGAAGGAGCGCCAGCCCCAACUGCAGAUGGAGCACCAGCACCUACUGCUGAAGGGACGCCUGCUCCUGCGGCUGAAGGCACUGCUGCCCCAGCUGCUGAAGGAGCUCCAGCCGCACCACCUGCUGAGGGUGCACCCACUGAGGGAGCUCCUGCACCAGCUCCAAGUGCUGAAGCACCUGCAGCAGCAGAAGCCGCACCUGCUCCGGCAGAGACUGCUCCAGCUCCGGCUGUCGCUCCACCAGCAGAUUCUGCUCCGGCGCCAGCUGAGGCUCCUCCUGCACCUGCAGAAGCUGCACCGGCACCUGCAGAAGCUCCACCUGCACCUGCUGAAUCUGCACCUCCAUCCGAAGCCCCUCCGGCGGACUCGGCCCCAACAGAAGUGUCAGCCCAAGCUUCUAUGGGUAGGAGAAUGACAAUCCUUAGUAAUCCCUUAGGAUGGGGUUCAGUUGCAAUUAAUGAUUAGAUUCGAAUUACCUGAUCCGACUAGUCCAACUGCGCCGAAAGAGCUCAAUCAAAUAAGAGCUUGAUGUACUCGAAAUUUCGUCCGAUUCGACUUCACUUUGGCUGUUUUGACUUCGUGAUGCAUGCAAGUUACCGUGAAAUCGCUGAAGUGAUUCAAUAUUCAACUGAAUAUUCGUUUGAAGAUUUUAUUGUACUUCAUAACUAAAUCUAGUGAUUCAUAUGAUGUUUUAAUGUUUUUUAACAAUAUGAAUAACAAUAAAAAUCGACCACAUUA